rnacentral:rRNA from 1 species
UAGGGAAUCUUCCGCAAUGGACGCAAGUCUGACGGAGCAACGCCGCGUGAGUGAAGAAGGAUUUCGGUUCGUAAAACUCUGUUGUUAGAGAAGAACAGCGCAUAGAGUAACUGUUAUGCGUGUGACGGUAUCUAACCAGAAAGCCACGGCUAACUACGUGCCAGCAGCCGCGGUAAUACGUAGGUGGCAAGCGUUGUCCGGAUUUAUUGGGCGUAAAGCGAGCGCAGGCGGUCAAUUAAGUCUGAUGUGAAAGCCCCCGGCUCAACCGGGGAGGGUCAUUGGAAACUGGUUGACUUGAGUGCAGAAGAGGAGAGUGGAAUUCCAUGUGUAGCGGUGAAAUGCGUAGAUAUAUGGAGGAACACCAGUGGCGAAGGCGACUCACUGGUCUGUAACUGACGCUGAGGCUCGAAAGCGUGGGUAGCAAACAGG